UACGGAGGGUGCAAGCGUUAUUCGGAAUCACUGGGCGUAAAGGGUGUGUAGGCGGUACAUUAAGUUCGUCGUUAAAGGCUCCGGCCUAACCGGAGUAUUGCGAUGAAAACUGGUGAGCUAGAGGGUGAGAGAGAGAAGUGGAAUUCCUGGUGUAGCGGUGAAAUGCGCAGAUAUCAGGAAGAACACCCGUGGCGAAGGCGGCUUGCUGGGACGGUACUGACGCUGAGACGCGAAAGCGUGGGGAGCGAACAGG
rnacentral:rRNA from 1 species